rfam:Felis catus isolate Cinnamon breed Abyssinian chromosome D4, whole genome shotgun sequence.
ACCUGGCUGGCUCAGUUGGUAGAGCAUGUGAUUCUUGAUCUUGGAGUUGUAAGCUCGAGUCCCAUGUUGGGUG